GACGAACGCUGGCGGCGUGCCUAACACAUGCAAGUCAACUUGACUGAAGGAGCAAUCUGACAGUAGAGUGGCGCAAGGGUGCGUAACGCGUAAGUAACUUGCCCCAAGGUAAGGAAUAACGUCGAGAAAUCGGCGCUAAUACCUCAUAAUGCAGCGGAUCCGCAUGGAUAUGUUGUUAAAGGUUUACCGCCUUGGGAUAGGCUUGCGUCUGAUUAGCUAGUUGGUGUGGUAACGGCACACCAAGGCUACGAUCAGUAACUGGUCUGAGAGGAUGAUCAGUCACACUGGAACUGAGACACGGUCCAGACUCCUACGGGAGGCAGCAGUGAGGAAUAUUGGGCAAUGCUCGAAAGAGUGACCCAGCAACGCCGCGUGGAGGAUGAAGGUAUUCUAUAUCGUAAACUCCUGUGAGAGCAGACGAAAGACAGAUUAUUAAUUUGGAUGACUGUAUGCUCAGAGGAAGCCCCGGCUAACUACGUG
rnacentral:rRNA from 1 species